rnacentral:rRNA from 1 species
UAGGCGACGAUCCCUAGCUGGUCUGAGAGGAUGACCAGCAACACUGGAACUGAGACACGGUCCAGACUCCUACGGGAGGCAGCAGUGGGGACUCUUGCACAAUGGGCGCAAGCCUGAUGCAGCCAUGCCGCGUGUGUGAAGAAGGCCUUCGGGUUGUAAAGCCCUUUCAGCGGGGAGGAAGGCGGUGAGGUUAAUAACCUCAUCGAUUGACGUUACCCGCAGAAGAAGCACCGGCUAAC